rnacentral:pre_miRNA from 1 species
GGGGGGAGCGCCGGAUCCUGCCUGUGUCCAUGGCGCCCUGUGCUCCUGGGCCUGUGCUAUUGGAAUCGUGCUCCCCGCCACGCAGCCCCUU